UUGCUGGAGGUAUCAGAAGUGCGAAUGCUGACAUGAGUAACGUAAAAUAAGUGAGAUUCUUAUUGGCCGAAAACCCAAGGGUUCCUACGCAAUGUUAAUCAACGUAGGGUAAGCCGGCCCCUAAGGCGUAGCUGAAGAGUGAAGUCGAUGGGAAACAGGUUAAUAUUCCUGUGCUGCUUAUAUGAACGAAGGAGGGACGGAGAAGGUUAGGUAGGCCUGGCGAAUGGUUGUCCAGGUGAAAGUAUGUAGGUAGGAAUGCUAGGCAAAUCCGGUGUUCUGUUGAUCUGAGAUACGAGACGAAGUUAAACUUGUUUGACGAAGCUAUUGAUACCAUGCUUCCAGGAAAAGCUUCUAAGUAUAUUGUAUAAGUGACCGUACUGUAAACCGACACUGGUGGGUAGGUAGAGAAUACUAAGGCUAUGAGAUAACUCUGGUGAAGGAACUAGGCAAAAUGACACCGUAACUUUGGAAGAAGGUGUGCCCUUGAUGGUGAUGAGACUUGCUCUUUGAGCUGUUGGGGGUUGCAGAUACCAGGUGGCUGCGACUGUUUAUCAAAAACACAGCACUCUGCGAAAUCGUAAGAUGAAGUAUAGGGUGUGACGCCUGCCCGGUGCUGGAAGGUUAAUUGAAGGGGUUAGCGCAAGCGAAGCUCUGGAUCGAAGCCCCAGUAAACGGCGGCCGUAACUAUAACGGUCCUAAGGUAGCGAAAUUCCUUGUCGGGUAAGUUCCGACCUGCACGAAUGGCGUAACGAUGGCCACACUGUCUCCACCAGAGACUCAGUGAAAUUGAAAUCGCUGUGAAGAUGCAGUGUACCCGCGGUUAGACGGAAAGACCCCGUGAACCUUUACUAUAGCUUUGCACUGGACUUUGAAUAUUUAUGUGUAGGAUAGGUGGGAGACCAUGAAGCAGCUACGCCAGUAGUUGUGGAGUCGUCCUUGAAAUACCACCCUUGAAUAUUUGAAGUUCUAACUCAGGAGAGAUUCGAGGACAGUGUAUGGUGGGUAGUUUGACUGGGGCGGUCUCCUCCUAAAGAGUAACGGAGGAGUACGAAGGUGCACUCGGUACGGUCGGAAAUCGUGCCAAGAGUAUAAAGGCAAAAGUGCGCUUGACUGCGAGAGUGACGGCUCGAGCAGGUACGAAAGUAGGUCUUAGUGAUCCGGUGGUCCCGAAUGGAAGGGUCAUCGCUCAACGGAUAAAAGGUACUCCGGGGAUAACAGGCUAAUUCCUCCCAAGAGUUCAUAUCGACGGAGGAGUUUGGCACCUCGAUGUCGGCUCAUCACAUCCUGGGGCUGAAGUAGGUCCCAAGGGUAUGGCUGUUCGCCAUUUAAAGUGGUACGCGAGCUGGGUUCAGAACGUCGUGAGACAGUUCGGUCCCUAUCUGCCGUGGGCGUUAGAGAUUUGAGAAGAGUUGCUCCUAGUACGAGAGGACCGGAGUGAACGAACCACUGGCGUUCCGGUUGUUUCGCCAGAAGCAUUGCCGGGUAGCUACGUUUGGACGGGAUAAACGCUGAAAGCAUCUAAGCGUGAAGCCUCCUUCAAGAUUAGAUCUCUCUGAUGAAAAUCAGUAAGGAACGUUGGAGACUACGACGUUGAUAGGCUGGGUGUGGAAGUACAGCAAUGUAUGAAGCUUACCAGUACUAAUGAUCCGAGAGACUUAAGUCUAU
rnacentral:rRNA from 1 species